AAAACAAAGAAGGUUUUCACAGAUUGGAAGAAAGAAUCUGAAUUUGGAGAUGACUUGGUCAUGCAAAAUCUUUCAACAAGGAUAUUGUGAUCACUUCUAGGUCACAAAUUACAGUCAGCCUACCAGCAUCAUCCUCCCUUCUUCUUCCGGGAAAGAACCAGCACUCAAUGAAGGCACAAUGGCAUCAUGUUGUAUUUGGGAAUUAUUCUGCUUUUCUUUAGUAGUUGUGAUAAUCUCAUACCUUAGAUGUAUGUUUUUUACAUAAAAACAUUCCUGGAUACACAAGCCUGUAUAUUCUGUCUUCCCUGCAUUUAUUCUGCUUAGCCCUUCUGUUCUCCUUGCUGUUCCUUGAAUUCACUGAACACAUUCCCACUUUAGCACCAUCUGCUCUUCUACUGCUUAGGACUUUCUCUCUCCGCGUACUGAUGCUUCAUCUCAGUUCUCUGCUCAUUUGAUGCUAGUCAGAGAGGUCUUCCUGACUACCCUGUGUAUGUAGAGAGGAGUAUGGCACUUCUAUGUCACUUUUCCCUUUAUUUUUCUUUACAGCACCUAUCACUAACUGACAAGUUAUACAUGUGCAU
ensembl:lncRNA novel transcript